rnacentral:lncRNA from 1 species
UUAAAUGUUUAUUUAGAUAAUAAAAAUAUUUUGUACUAUACCAAAUUAUUGACAGUUAUCAUAGUGGGUGGUGAGAUUAUGAGUGGUUUUUAAGGAGAUUUCUUUUUUUUUUUGGUUUUUUGAGACAGGGUCUCACUAUGAAAUGGAGACUGACCUGGAACUCACUAUGUAGCCCAGGCUGAUCUCGAACUCACAGCGAUCCUCCUGCCUCAGCCUCCCAAGUGCUGGACUUAACAGUCAUGCGCCACCAUGCCUGGCUUUAAAAAGAUAUUUCUAUGUAUUUUUCAUGUUUUCCACAAUGGGUAUUUAUUAUCUUUUGCCAAACUUAGAACCAAGAGCCAGAUAAGAGGCCAAAGGGACAAUUUUGCUGAAAAACUCCUGCUGCUGCCAAAUGCUGUCUUUCCAUAGGAACUCCGGCCCUGACCACCCUGUCUUGAGGGAGUUGCUGGUUGCCAGGAGCUGCCAGGCGACGGAGAUGCAACACAAUUUGGAGGCAGCAGCUUGGUUCUAAAUGGAGGUUUCAGAGAGUUCAUAUGAGGUUAAAAGCCGACUAAACAUUGUGUACCUGUACCAUAGUACCUGUGGUCAGUCACCAAGGUGAGAAGGAAAAAGAGAAGGUCAUGCAUCUAUAAUUGCGGUCAUGCACCUGCUUAGCACCCUGAGAGGUUGUUCUUGGACCAAAGAUUAUCAGCUCUUUCCUGCUCUUGACAACCAACACAGACUUAAUACCCACUUUCCAGCAAACUUUCUCCUACACAUCAAAUUCACAUUCUAUUUUGAAGUUGAAAGAAAGAGAUCUUUAAAGAAAAAGGAAAUUUUGGGGGAGGGUCCUGAAGCAAAGAAUCAACCCAUGCUGCCAACAUUGCCUCCAAGGACAGCCAAAACCUCCCAGGGGCCAACAGGGUAGAAUAGAGGAUAAUUCUGUGUGCUUUCUUUCAUCAGCUGGCAAUUUCAAAAGCACCUGCCUGUUUUUCCAGGCCUCAAGAGUAACCACAUCAGCCAGUCCCUUCUUGUUUUCCAUAAAUCCAUGAUAAAGACCAUUGUUUUCAAGGCU